rnacentral:rRNA from 1 species
AUGAAAAUAAUCCAUGAAGCUAUUGACAUGAUACGUGAGCUGCUGAAGUAUAUUGACUCUUCUCCUUCAAGACUUCAAGAUUUCAAUACAAUUGCAAGUGGGAUGGGUCUACGUGCAAAGAAAGGCAUCUCUAUUGAUACACCAACCAGAUGGAACUCAACUUGGAAAAUGCUUGUAGAUGCAUUGACGUACAAAUUUGUUCUCACUAGGUAUGCCAAUAGAAAGAUGAUAGAGUAUCCAAGUGAGGAAGAAUGGGACAAGGAAAAAGCUAUUUGUGAGUUUCUAAAAGCUUUUGAAGAGCUUACCUUGAUUGUUUCAGCUCAUACAUUGAAAGAUCCGGGUUGG